rnacentral:rRNA from 1 species
AUUGAACGCUGGCGGCAGGCCUAACACAUGCAAGUCGAACGAGUGGCGGACGGGUGAGUAAUGUCUGGGAAACUGCCCGUUGGAGGGGGAUAACAACUGGAAACGGUAGCUAAUACCGCAUACCAUCGGAUGUGCCCAGAGGGGAUUAGCUAGUGGGUGGGGUAUCGGCUCACCAAGGCGACGAUCCCUAGCUGGUCUGAGAGGAUGACCAGCCACACUGGAACUGAGACACGGUCCAGACUCCGACGGGAGGCAGCAGGGGGGAAUAUUGCACAAUGGGCGCAAGCCUGAUGCAGCCAUGCCGCGUGUAUGAAGAAGGCCUUCGGGUUGUAAAGUACUUUCAGCGGGGAGGCGUUACUCGCAGAAGAAGCACCGGCUAACUCCGUGCCAGCAGCCGCGGUAAUUC